rnacentral:sRNA from 1 species
CUGUUUCGAUGAUUAUUAUGUAAAACUACCUAUUUAUGUUGUUCGGUUUGUCUGGGAAAACCCCAGUAUCUUUUCUUCGUUGAAGAUACUAGUAAAAGAUGAACGUGGUACUUGUUGAAACCAGACAAAUUUGUCUAUUGCCAGAUGGAACAGUUACCCUGGCUUCU